rnacentral:rRNA from 1 species
GCAGCAGGCGCGUAAAUUACCCAAUCCGGAAACCGGGAGGUAGUGACAAGAAAUAGCAAUAGAGGGCCCGAUGGGUUUUCUAAUUGGAAUGAGAACAAGUUAAAAAUAUUAUCGAGGAGCCAGCAGAGGGCAAGUCUGGUGCCAGCAGCCGCGGUAAUUCCAGCUCUGUAAGCGUAUACCCAAGUUGUUGCAGUUAAAACGCUCGUAGUCGGAAAUAGGUUAGUUUCCUGGGGGUUUUUUGUCCUAACGGGCUACUCCAGGCUAAUUAGCCUAUCUUGUGGAUAUGGUUGCCGGGAGCGUGGAUACUUCAUUGUGUCUGCACUUUUGUCUUUCGGUAGUCACCGCAACGUUACUGUGAAAAAAUUAGAGUGUUCAAAGCAGGCAAUUGUCGUGAAUAACUUAGCAUGGAAUAAUAGAAUAGGACCUCUGAGGUUUUGUUUCUAUUGGUUUGUCAAGACCAGGUAAUGAUUAAGAGGGACGGUUGGGGGCAUUUGUAUUCCGGCGUCAGAGGUGAAAUUCUUGGACCGUCGGAAGACACACUGCUGCGAAAG